rnacentral:snRNA from 1 species
GUGCUCACUUCGGCAGCACAUAUACUAAAAUUGGAAUGAUACAGAGAUUAGCAUGGCCCCUGCGCAAAGAUGACACGCAAAUUCGUGAAGCAUUCCAUAUUUUU